GAUGAACGCUGGCGGCGUGCCUAAUACAUGCAAGUAGAACGCUGAAGCUUGGUGCUUGCACCGAGCGGAUGAGUUGCGAACGGGUGAGUAACGCGUAGGUAACCUGCCUCUUAGCGGGGGAUAACUAUUGGAAACGAUAGCUAAUACCGCAUAAAAGUCGAUAUCGCAUGAUAUUGAUUUGAAAGGUGCAAAUGCAUCACUAAGAGAUGGACCUGCGUUGUAUUAGCUAGUUGGUGAGGUAACGGCUCACCAAGGCGACGAUACAUAGCCGACCUGAGAGGGUGAUCGGCCACACUGGGACUGAGACACGGCCCAGACUCCUACGGGAGGCAGCAGUAGGGAAUCUUCGGCAAUGGGGGCAACCCUGACCGAGCAACGCCGCGUGAGUGAAGAAGGUUUUCGGAUCGUAAAGCUCUGUUGUAAGAGAAGAACGAGUGUGAGAGUGGAAAGUUCACACUGGGACGGUAACUUACCAGAAAGGGACGGCUAACUACGU
rnacentral:rRNA from 1 species